rnacentral:antisense_RNA from 1 species
CUUCACCGACCCCAGCCACAACGGCCGUUCCGGAUCGCGCUCCUGGCUGUAGACGGAGAUCAGCGCCUGGGCCUC